UAGGACGUUGGCACUGACAUGUCUUGUGCCAUUAGAAUGGAUAUACAGGUGGAAGGAGUAACCUUGUCAUAGUUUGUAAGUAGGACUACCUUAUGCAGUGAGUUGCUCAGUAACACUCUCUACCCUGUAAGAUCGAGGCACGAAGGAUAUCAAGUGAUUUGAUGUGGACCUCAAUAUCUCUGACUAGAUGAAGAAGCAGUCACGAAAACUUCAAAACAGAUCGAUUCGGAUGAUCCGUUACACAUCAUUAUGAACGUUUUUGGACUCAAGACAUUCCAGCGCGUUCUUAACUUGGAGCAGCUCCCACUGGUUAUGCAAAUAGCUGGAGUUGUUUUUUUUUCGUUUCGGAAUAACACCUCCACGAUAACUCCCUUGUGUGUAACUCCUUUGUUUGUACAGUGAUAUACGACGGGAACCUCGCGAACGUGUUUCCCCAAAACAUUUGCCGUAUGACACAUUCUUGAGCUCUCACACACACACACACCUUUGAUGAUUUAACCAAAAACUCACGCAAAACAGUUGAUCGAGAGUCUUGGUUGGAUUGGUGGAUGUAUGCAUGCAAAUUUUACCUCCUUCGGCUCAGAUCAGCUAGCGGGGGACUAGAGUUGGGGGUUGUCUCUGUCGAAUCCAUCAACCACAAUGGCGUCAUGUUGCUGCUGCACGCAAUUAGAGGCGACAGGUUGCGGAGAACCAACCACACACACACACACACUUAACAUUGACAUUGGAAUUUUCAAUUAGGUAGCAGUCCGGACCAAGACGUAAUAUUUUACGCACACGCGUGUGUCUUGCGUCUAUCUUUGCGUCCAGUGCGUGCGAGCUGCUGCCGUACUCGUCAGACAUGUGCCGAAAGUUCGUUUACAAUCCCACGGAACGGCUUUAUUUACUCGAGAUGUUUUUUUCUUUUCUUUACCAAUUCAAAAUUUGGGGGUUUAGCGAACUUUCAUUGUUUUUCCUUCGGUCAGUUUACUUUGGCGCUUGCCAAACUGUAAGCACCAGCAGACAGUAGCAAGCCAGUCGGUUGAGCGGUUCAUUCAUUUUUACACCUCUGAGGCGCCAGCCAGACCACUCGCCGUUUUGGAGUGUCGUUAAGAGUGGCUGACUCAUUGCGAAGCGCUUUUAAAAAUAUAUUUUUCGUUAUUGAUUUUCAAAGCACAAAAGUGAUCGAUCGUUAUGAUUUCUUUACCGCUGCUGAAAAGAGGUCAAGUGAUUUCGGGUAAAUUAUGGUAGAUAUUUGAGGAACGUCGUUUCUCGUACUGGAAACGUACUUACGCUACUUCACGUAUUAAUUACUUCGUUACUAUAUUCACACAAUCUCAUCAAUCAAAUAACUUUAACCAGGUAACGAUGGAACCUCUUUCUGAUGUCUCGGGUUCUAUCGAAGGACUGCAGGGGGCGGUACUGUGGCCAAUAAAACAGACUUUCCAAGCGUGUAGAGAUCCCGCAUAUAGGCGUUCCGGUCCCGUUACUGACAGCUGAAGAGGCAACCUCCCAAGAUGUCCAGAUGAAAGGCGUUUUGGGAUGUGUGUGUCUAUAUGUAAACCCAGAGCAACCAUUCUGAUGUGUGGCCUCCGAUGUUCGGCUGAGCUUGAAACCCUCCUAGCACCUUAAAAGCGGCCAGUGAAUAGAAUUAAUAAACGAUCGCUUCCUUUUCAUCAUCUCCGGGCGAAUCGUACAGAUUGUGCGGCGGCCUACAAAGCAUCUGUUUCUAAACCCAGCAAUGGACUAACUGGACGCGCUUCGUUCGGCCAACAUAAGAAGAAGUAUAAUAUAAUGUGAGCUAAUUGCAGA